rnacentral:rRNA from 1 species
GAUGAACGCUGGCGGCGUGCCUAAUACAUGCAAGUCGAGCGAACGGACGAGAAGCUUGCUUCUCUGAUGUUAGCGGCGGACGGGUGAGUAACACGUGGAUAACCUACCUAUAAGACUGGGAUAACUUCGGGAAACCGGAGCUAAUACCGGAUAAUAUUUUGAACCGCAUGGUUCAAAAGUGAAAGACGGUCUUGCUGUCACUUAUAGAUGGAUCCGCGCUGCAUUAGCUAGUUGGUAAGGUAACGGCUUACCAAGGCAACGAUGCAUAGCCGACCUGAGCGGGUGAUGGGCCACACUGGAACUGAGACACGGUCCAGGCUCCUACGGGAGGCAGCAGUAGGGAAUCUUCCGCAAUGGGCGAAAGCCUGACGGAGCAACGCCGCGUGAGUGAUGAAGGUCUUCGGAUCGUAAAACUCUGUUAUUAGGGAAGAACAUAUGUGUAAGUAACUGUGCACAUCUUGACGGUACCUAAUCAGAAAGCCACGGCUAACUACGUG